AUCCGCCUACGGGGGGCAGCAGUGAGGAAUAUUGGUCAAUGGACGAGAGUCUGAACCAGCCAAGUAGCGCGAAGGAUGACUGCCCUAUGAGUUGUAAACUUCUUUUAUAUGGGAAUAAAGUUUUCCACGUGUGGAAUUUUGUAUGUACCAUAUGAAUAAGGAUCGGCUAACCCCGUGCCAGCAGCCGCGGUAAUACGGAGGAUCCGAGCGUUAUCCGGAUUUAUUGGGUUUAAGGGGAGCGUAGGUGGAUUGUUAAGUCAGUUGUGAAAGUUUGCGGCUCAACCGUACAAUU
rnacentral:rRNA from 1 species